CUGAAUCGUUGAUAUUAUUCAGCUCUGAUUACAGGAAUAGUGACUAUUAGAGUAAUCGUUCUUAAAUCUUUUUAUUUUCAACUAACUUUUCCAUUUUCACGUGUCUUUGCUUGAAAUGAUAAAAAAAUAUUUAUGAAAGAUACGGGUAAUAAUCCUUAAAAUUAAAACUCAGGAUGCAUCUGAGUGUGUCGUGUGUCUUUGCUGUCAACAAUCAGUCGAACAAAAUCCAUGUGUUUUGGUUUUAAUUGAAAUGUGCGUUUUUUGUUGAAAUCAUCAGUUUAAAUGUCUAAACACACCUAGGUUCACCGCAAGAUGAACAAAAAGUGGUGCAGAAAUUCCGAAAAAAUGUCGCAGCCAAUAGUAUUUUUUUAUUUACGUGAUAGAUCCGGAUAUGAUAUCCACCAUAAGUGAACCAGGGCAAAUUCUACGGUCAAGAGUGCAGGUUAGUGUCAACAUCCUGCUUAGCAAAGCGGUAACUGCGCUAAUGCAGAAACCAAGGAAGAUUGAGGUUAGGCACCAAAUUUCAAUUGCAGCCGAAAUCCAGCAAGCAAACAGCUACUGAAAACCCGCCACCGGAGUUUAACGAAAAAGACGGUCAAAGCCUUAGGCAUCACGCGCAACAUUCCGCAAGUUGGUGCUUGAUUCCGUUUUCAUUCGGAACUAUAACCACUGGUUCCGUCACCAAGGUCGAGCAGGGAACUGACAUGAAUUUCCCAAAAGCCACAACCACCGGAUAAAUCUGAAGUCAUGGGAACUUUCAACUAGGAGGUAGGCCAACUAAAUGGAAACCCGUUCCGCUCUUUUCUGGAACAAGGUCUCAAAAAGCGGAUCUGUUAACGAUGCUCCUAUCUGCGCUGUACAAGUGUCGCCAGUUAAUCAUCGGUACUGUCGAAAAUCGGAGAUGGUACAUGUGCAACUUGAAAUUAAACGUGAUUAUCAGCAGAAUAUAAAUUUACAGGAGGAAACAAAAAGACCCCAAGAAAACCACGAUGCAUAGAAUCCGAAAUUCACAAGAAUAGUGCGCCGGUCAGAAAUAAGCAGGUGUCCUUUUUGGCCUUCUGAAAUCCAACAAAGAUGGCCAGACAAAUCUUUACCUCUUUAAGGGACAGAAGGAGGGAAUUGGAAAAGUAUCCUGAUAAUUUCCGGUUCCGGAAUAGAAUACACCCUUCUACACCACUGAGGUGUAGGAGGAAGAGGAAGAAGCAUCCGAUGAUUGCCACGGCGGAGGCCUCAUUAUUUCUAUCACUUCAAACGAAGAUCUAGGUUCGAAGGGAGUGUCAGGCAAGCAACAGCUCCAACAUACUUGACUGGGUGUAGGUCAUGCAGCAGUACUCCGCUGAAGGUGCUGCAGCAGCAACCUUCUAGGAGGCAAACACACAAGCGAGCAUCAACAGAACCAAACACAUAUUACUGGCUGGUAUUAAUGUACCAGGAAUCGAUUGUAGGUGAUCUAUCAGCAACCGGCUAGAGCUUGGGGAAAUUAAUCUGAAUUCAGUCCAUGUCCAGAAUCCGACGCAUAAUCGUUGCUGGCUGAUGUCCUGGUCGGCGGACACCAUCGAAAACUCCAAUAGAAGAAGAGGAUUUGGUUUUGUGUAUGAUUAUGUUCCUUAUCGAGAUCAUUGGGUUUCCGAUGAGGAAAAACGAUUAUAUUUAAACUAAGGGAGAAAGAAACGAGCGAAUCCAAAACCGUCCUCCUACGCAUCCUAUUACGGUACACAGAGCCAAUAACGGCAUCUUCAGACUCCAUUUUGGUCCUCUGAUGAUUGUACAUGAGUACCAAGAUUUUCUCGGUAUCGCCAUAUACUGGCCUAAUAUUCAGAAAAAAACAUCUGGUUCCUGCUGAAUAUGGCGAAAUACACCCGAGGGUACUAUUCACCGGAAACGCCACCCAAAGCCGUACCAAUCGGAUGCUGCUAAGUUGCCCUCUAUCGCGCUAUUCUAUCUCUUCGAAUAUCUCAUUGAAACUACGCGAGUAGAAAUAUGCACCGUCAGAACAAGAGGUUCGCAUUAUUGUGGAGGGUUUACUACGAGGUGUUUUUUCUUAUUAAUGCAUUUUUACUACUUCUUAAUUGAACAUCAAUAGCCAAAUCGUUAAGUGUUAUCUUGUUAAUAACUGCUUCGAAUUCUUUGUUUCAUCAUAAAAUUAAAAAUUUUGUAAAAGAUAAAAUGUUAAACGAGGUUUCGAAAAUUCUUGUUUAGGACCCGAUUUCAGUCUUCGGACUUGAUUACAUUAGAGGUGAAAAGCUGAUUCAUAUUUUUAAGGUGUUUUUUGCUAGGAAAUUACCACUAGGGGUAUUUUUAAGGUAGAAAUCUUAACCAAAAAGAAAUGACAAAUAAAAAAAACCGAUUUUAUUAUUCGUAAAUGAAGAAGCGUGAAUCAGGAUUGAAAAAACUAAGAAGUGGUUUGAAAUGAAACAUCUCAUAUGAGAUAAAAAUUAUAAUACUCAAACAAAUAUCAACUCGUGGGUCGUUUUUAGAAUAAGUAUCAAGUAAAAGCACUCUGAAAAGAUUUUAUUUGGUUAUGCGACCAUUCACUGGAUCGAUUUAUAUCAGAGAUGUAUGCGGCAGAAUAUUAUUAUAAGACUAUCAAAAACUAAUGCGAAGGUUGUUGUGGUGGUAAUAAUGUAUAAAAUAAUAUAAAAAUGUAAAUAAUUUGGUAGAAACCUUCCUAUUUUGAUAAAUAAUAAAAUCUCUGAAAAACUAUAACACGAAUCGUCUACUUUUUUCAAUUUGAUCAUAAAACGAUCUCGUAAAGAUACGCUGUAGCGUCAGAAAUAUUUGAUAUGAACGAUUAACUGAAGAUUUAAUAUAUGAUACCACUUGAUUCUCAAUCCAGGAAAGUCUAGAAAAAAACAAAAAAAUUGAAUGGUAACUCUACUUAACGACCCGUUCCCUGUAUCGUAAAGUGCGUCCAAACGAUUCCAUUGCAUGAAAAAAUGAUAAGCCUUAUCUUACAUUAAUAAUCCAAAACUAUAGAUGUAAUCUUUUGUGUGUCUCGGGAAGAAGAUUAUGAGAAUAGUCAUUGUAUAAUACUGCUUC